CAGCCCUAAACGAUGCGCGUUAGGUGUAUCGGUGACCACGAGUCACCGAGGUGCCGAAGGGAAACCGUGAAACGUGCCGCCUGGGAAGUACGGUCGCAAGGCUGAAAACUUAAAAGGAAUUGGCGGGGGAGCACCACAACGGGUGGAGCCUGCGGUUUAAUUGGACUCAACGCCGGGAAGCUCACCGGAUAAGACAGCGGAAUGAUUGCCGGGCUGAAGACCCUGCAUGACCAGCUGAGAGGUGGUGCAUGGCGUGUGACUGU
rnacentral:rRNA from 1 species